UCCCUGGUAGUAUCGGUUAGUACACGCGCCUGUCAUUUACGUUUCCCGAGGUUAUGCGCGCGAAAGCUGGGUUCGACUCCCAGCCAGGGAG